CCAAUCGAACCCGGAGAUAGCUGGUUCUCCCCGAAAUAGCUUUAGGGCUAGCGUCAAGAUGAACUUAUCUGGAGGUAGAGCACUGAAUGUGUGAUGGCCCCAUCCCGGGGUACUGAACACAAUCAAACUCCGAAUGCCAGGUAAGAUGAUUGGCAGUCAGACCGUGAGUGAUAAAGUCCAUGGUCAAGAGGGAAACAGCCCAGACCGCCAGCUAAGGUCCCAAAAUUCUGGCUAAGUGGAAAAGGAUGUGGGGAUGCACAGACAACUAGGAGGUUGGCUCAGAAGCAGCCAUCCUUGAAAGAGUGCGUAACAGCUCACUAGUCGAGUGACCCUGCGCCGAAAAUGUACCGGGGCUAAGCCAGGUACCGAAGCUGCGGAUAUUCCUAGAAUAUGGUAGGGGAGCGUUGCAUGUGGGGUGAAGCCGUAUCGUGAGGAGCGGUGGACAGCAUGGAAGUGAGAAUGCCGGUGUGAGUAGCGAGAUGUAGGUGAGAAUCCUACACACCGAAAGCCCAAGGAUUCCAGGGGAAGGUUCGUCCGCCCUGGGUAAGUCGGGACCUAACGCGAGGCCGAGAGGCGUAGUGGAUGGAAAACAGGCAGAUAUUCCUGUACCCGUAUAUGGAGCGAAGGAGGAACGGAGAAGGCUAGCAUGACCCUCUUAAUGGAUUGAGGGCGAAGCGAGGUAACUGGUGACCAGGCAAAUCCGGUCACUGCAAGGUGAAGACGUAACAGGUAAGUGAAAGAGCGAUCGAGUAGCGAAGCAUGUGAUGCCAGCUUCCAAGAAAAGCUUCUAGCAAUGCAUAUACGGCCCGUACCAAAACCGACACAGGUGGGCAGGGAGAGUAUCCCGAGGUGAGCGAGAGAACUGUUGCCAAGGAACUCGGCAAAAUGGCUCCGUAAGUUAGCAAGAAGGAGCGCUCGAAAGAGCCGCAGUGAAAAGGCCCAAGCGACUGUUUAACUAAAACAUAGCUCUCUGCGAAGCCGCAAGGCGAAGUAUAGGGGGUGACACCUGCCCGGUGCUGGAAGGUUAAGAGGAUCUGUGAAUCGCAAGAGGAAGCAGUGAGUUGAAGCCCCAGUGAACGGCGGCCGUAACUAUAACGGUCCUAAGGUAGCGAAAUUCCUUGUCAGGUAAGUUCUGACCCGCACGAAAGGUGUAACGAUUUGGGCGCUGUCUCGGCAGCAGACUCGGUGAAAUCUUAGUACCUGUGAAAAUGCAGGUUACCCGCAACUAGACGGAAAGACCCCAUGGAGCUUUACUGUAGCUUGAUAUUGAACUUUGGUCGUACCUGUACAGGAUAGGUGGGAGACAUAGAGACGUGCACGCCAGUGUACGAGGAGUCGGCGUUGGGAUACCACUCUUGUGCGAUCGGAGUUCUAACCCAGGUCCAUGAAACUGGAUCGGGGACCGUGUCAGGCAGGCAGUUUGACUGGGGCGGUCGCCUCCCAAAGAGUAACGGAGGCGCCCAAAGGUACGCUCAGAUUGGAUGGAAACCAAUCAUUGAGUGCAAUUGCAGAAGCGUGCUUGACUGUGAGACAAACAAGUCGAACAGGGACGAAAGUCGGGAAUAGUGAUCCGGCGGUGCCGAAUGGAAGGGCCGUCGCUCAACGGAUAAAAGCUACCCUGGGGAUAACAGGCUGAUCUCGCCCAAGAGUUCACAUCGACGGCGAGGUUUGGCACCUCGAUGUCGGCUCAUCGCAUCCUGGAGCUGGAUUCGGUUCCAAGGGUUGGGCUGUCCGCCCAUUAAAGCGGUACGCGAGCUGGGUUCAGAACGUCGUGAGACAGUUCGGUCCCUAUCUGUUGUGGGCGAAGGAGAUCUGCGGAGAGCUGUCCUCAGUACGAGAGGACCGGGAUGGACCUACCGCUGGUGCACCGGUUGUUCCGCCAGGGGCAUAGCCGGGUAGCUAAGUAGGGAAAGGAUAAGCGCUGAAAGCAUCUAAGCACGAAGCCUACUCCAAGAUGAGAUCUCCCAUUCGCAAGAAGUAAGACCCCUUAAAGACGAUAAGGUAGAUAGGCCAGGGAUGGAAGUGCAGUGAUGUACGGAGUUGACUGGUACUAAUCGGUCGAGGACUUAAUCAG
rnacentral:rRNA from 1 species